UGUUUUUAAAAGGAAGAGCAGAAGAUCAGCAGUGAAAGAGUCUGUGAUCUCAGACACAUAUGCAGGUCUGAAUCUCCAGUCUGCGACCUCUAACCUGUACAACACACUCACAAGCGUUCACCACAGACCUGCUGAAAACUCCUGCUCCACUCUUGAUCCUCAGAGCUCUUCUGAACAUCACAAUCCACCAAUCAACAGGAGGAGGCUGCAGUGAGAGGCGGAGCCAGAAAUCACCAAUCCUGAGCUGUGUGGGCGGAGCCACGGGUGAUCAUCAGUGAUAAGUCAGUGAAUUGCUUUAUAGUCUUAAAGUGUUUAAUAUUUCCUGCUUUUGUUAUUCUGUCUUCUGUGUGCCUGUAAGUGAUCAGUUUCAUUAGUGACGGUCUCAUAUGUGUUUGUGCAAAACCCUCACUCCACCAGCAGAGGACUCCAUCUCCUGAUACUGAUAGAAAUGUUUAUGUGGUUUUAUCUUGUAUUGAGCUUGAAGUUUUAUAAACAUGCUCUCUUAUUUUUUUUUUUUCUGUAUAGAGUUUCAGUGACUUAAACACCUCUGGUCAUGAUUUUAUUUUUGAUUUCUUUGUAAUGUGUAUCUCUGUAUUGUAUUGCUAUCAGUGCUUUGCCACAGCAUUUAAUCGUUUACCAUGCUAAUAAAGCCACCUAAGUAUGAAUAACUGACGUUGUCGGCCU